AACCAUAGAAACCUGCGGAGUACCUGCGGAAGGAUCAUUAUAGUAUAUGGAAUCUCCAUUCUAUAAACCCACUCUGCGUAUCUUGUAACUGUUGCUUCCAUGGGACUUGGUUCCGCCACGCCGGCUUCACGGCUGGUGAGCGCCCAUGGAAGGAGAAACAAAACUCUUCUUUGAAAUGUAGUCAGUCUGAACAAGUUUUUAUAAACGUUAAAACUUUUAGCAAUGGAUCUCAGAUCGGAA
rnacentral:misc_RNA from 1 species